rnacentral:sRNA from 1 species
UACCUAAUCCCUAAAUCAAUAGGACACGGUAUAUAAAUCCAUCCCUGGUAGAAAGCUCCUCGUCGGAGCACCAGGGAUGGUCAUAUCCCGAAAGGGGUGUGGGUGAUCGAAAGGUCAUC